UACGUAGGUGGCAAGCGUUGUCCGGAUUUACUGGGCGUAAAGGGCGUGCAGGCGGCUUGUUAAGUGCAGGGUGAAAGCUCCCGGCUCAACUGGGGGGAGGUCAUGCGAGACUAUACGGCUUGAGGGCAGCAGAGGAACGUGGAACUCCCGGUGUAGCGGUGAAAUGCGUAGAUAUCGGAAGGAAUACCAGUGGCGAAGGCGGCCUUCUGGACGGAUACUGACGCUGAGGCGCGAAAGCCAGGGGAGCAAACGGG
rnacentral:rRNA from 1 species